GUCAGUAUGGUGUAGUGGUUUAUGUGUUGGACUACAACUCUGGAGAACAGGGUUUGAGUCCCUGCUCAGCCA